GUCAAGAAUCAAGACAAUAUUCAAGUCAAAGUCUAGUGGUAAACAUAUUUUAAGACUGGAGAGAGCAAGUCCAAAGACCAAUGCAGAAGCUGGAGGCCGCAAUCAAAGCAGAGUCUCAGAAUUGGAAGGAUAAACAGGCAGAAAUAGUCCAAAAACCAUGUGCCUCUGCUGACCUUGAGGAGUUCUCUCCAGUUGCAGUCACACACCUGUGGGCCCCAAGCCAUCUAUAUAUAUGCUGCAAGGAGCAGUUCUUUCUCAGAGUUAACUCCAGGAGAAUGUGCACCAUAUCCUAUAAGCAAAGGAAGACAGCAGUCCCAGUAAGGAGGAAUUCACUGGCAUUUGGCAAGAAUAACAAAACAGAGCCAGAAAUGAGGUCCUCAGGAGCAGAGGUCAGAGAUGAGGAUCAUGAAGAGCUACCUGCAGAAGCAGCUCAGUCUCAGAUCUGGUUCCUUGGAAUCAAAGAUUACCUGACUCAAGGGGGAAAUUCGCUGGGUAGAGCUUCAGAAGUAGAGAUGGGAGAGGAGACAUGUCAGAAUUAGAGGCAAGAUAUUUCAAAAAAUGGCCUCACUCCCAGGAAUAGGCUCACGUGGUGUCACACAGGAAGCCCACUGCCAGACUCCCAAGCCUGUGCUAAUGGGACACGUCCCCUGAACCAUUAAAGAUA
rnacentral:lncRNA from 1 species